GUCCCUGUCGAUUAGUGGUUAGAUCAUCACAUUGUGGUAACACAAUUCUGUGAAGACGCAGGCUCGACUCCUGCCCGGGACA